rnacentral:tRNA from 1 species
GUUUUAAUAAUUUAAGUAAAAUAUUGGUCUUGUAAAUCAAAAAUAAGGAAUCUUUUAAAACU